CUUCCCUCUGUGGUUUGAUAGUCUGUUCGAUGCUUCUAUGUCUCUUGCUUUCUCACGUUUGCUCUGACUUAAGGCCUCUUGCUCUGCUCUUUUCCUUUGUCUUCUCCUGAUGCAGCUCAAACCCCAGUCACCCAGUUCCCCAGAUUUGCUCUCUAUGCCAAUCCUUCUCCCACCCUUUGGUUCCUGCGCCAGGAGAAGAUGCAGCAUAAUUAUCUGGCAAUUGGAGGACAAACAACAAAUAGUCCAGCCCAUGCAGCUCCACAGACGUCCUCUCAAUGGGCUCUCCUUUGAUCAGCGUGGGCAGAUGAAAACACAUUUGCCAAGGAGACGAAGAACAGAGUUGGGCAGUUAUCUGAUGGCUUUUCUAGUUCAGGAAGGAACAGCUGUCCUUUGUUGAGAAUUCUACUGCUUCUUUGUUUUCUGUUCAUGGAUUUCUGCUCUUUUAUUUCCUCCUUCCUUUUCUUUCCUUUGGAUUGAUUCUGUGUGUGUGUGUGUGUGUGUGUGUGUGUGUGUGUGUGUGUGUGUAUUUAGACUUAUACUAGGCUCAUGCUGUAACAACCCCCAUAGCUCAGUGAUAUAACACAGUAAGAGUUACAUUUUCUUUAUGCAGCAAAGUCCCGUGUGUAUGUUCCUGACUGGGCAACGCACUGUGACAGCCGUCCUCCAGCUAGUGACCCAGGGACUCAGGACACUCCUUCCUUAUGGUUUCUCCAACUUGAGGCGGCAGGCUUACCCUGGCAUUAUCCAUCUGGCCGAAUGGAGUGUAGGACAUGGGAAAGUGAGACGGUAGAACAGAGUGGGCCUAGAAAGGACCGUCAUGGCACCUUAAUUGCAAGCGAGGUUGGGAAAGGGGUAUGGAUGGGACUGAUGGUCUCUGCUAUGUGCCUUUAUUUUUUAAAUGAAAAUGCUUAUUGUUUUCUUUUAAAAAAUUUCAAAUGCAGUUAACAUUCAAUAUUAUUUUAUCUUAGUGUCUGGUGUACAGCAUAAUGGUUAGACAUUUGUAUAGUUUACGAAGUGAUCCCCCAGUAAUUCUGGUACUGACCUGGCACCACACGUAGUUAUCACAAUAUUUUUGAUUAUAUCUACCAUAUUUUUAAGUGGAUACUUAGCUUAUUAACAUACUUUUCUUUUUUAACAUUAACACAUAGACUACAAAUUUCCCUUAAAACAUUACUUUUGCUGUAUUUCACAAGGCUUGAUAUACAGUGUUUUCAUUAUCCUUCAAUUCCAACUAAUUUUUAAAUUCCAUUAUGAUGUAUUCUUUGGUCCAUGCCUCAUUUCAAAGUUUAUUUGUUUUUAUGACUUCGGGGUAGGGGAGGAUUUCUCACACAAGACAAUAAGAGGGCCCACUGUAAAAGAAAAGGCUGACAAAUUCAACUACAUUAAAGUUAAGAACUGUUCGUCAAAAGACACUGUAAAGAUAAUUUUAAAAAGGCUACAGAUUGAGAAUAGAGGACAAAUCAGUACUAAAAUGAGCCAAAAGCAUUUCACCAAAGGGAAAGAAAUGGCCCAUAUGCCCGUGGAAAGAUACUCGUUAGUCACCAUGGGAAUCUAAAUCAAAAUCACAGGGAGACAUGCUCCUAUACUUAGUGGACUGGCAAAAAUGCAGUAACUGAAGAAUACUAGGAGGAAGUGCUAGGAGGGCCAAUGGGAUGUCAUAUGCAUUGCUCAUAUGAAAUAACAUUGAAUAUUCAUAUAUCAUAGGACGCAGCAGUUUCGCUCCUGGGUAUGUAUUCUGGAGGAUAAAACGACUUGAGAGGUAAAUGCUCAAUUGUAGGAAACUGAUCCCUUAUAGGAUGGUCUCCCAGAAAAGGAGUUGGGCUCCCGCAGAGCUCCAUGGAAAUUGCCUAUGACCCCUUAUUAGGGUAAUAAAUUCUGAUUGAAUGCGAGGCUUAGAUCUUAUUUUUCCAGGGCUACCUGUGGGAGGGGAGAGCUGGUUGUUCCCUCACUGUGGAUGCUAAUGAAGCGAAUCGUGCUGCUCUUGGCAGUGUCACUCAGCUGCAAACUGGUCAUCUGCUGGUCACGCGAGGGGAGGGCCUGGGUCUUCCUUAAUCUUGCAGCGUGAAGGCCCCACAAGGCGUAAGGACUCUCUCCUGGAUUCUGACUUUGGGCUCUGGUAGACCUUUGUCUACUGCUGAGAUGAGAUGACCGGGACCUCCGUUUCCUCUGCUGCCUUUUUUCCUGGGUGUCCCCAACAAAUGGUCUCUAGGUGGCCUAUUUGUGCAGCCUGCCCAUCCGCCUUUGUUUGCACACCACAGCCUCAUGUCCAUCAACAAAAUACCGUAUCCAUUGUGGUUUAUUCUUACAGUGGAAUAAUCUGCAGCAAGUGCAAAGGGAUGAAUUAUGGUUGUUCACAGCAAAGAGCUGAAUUUCAUUAACAUAGUGUUGUGUGACAAAAGUACCAGAAUUCAACUUACAGUAUAACGCUCUUCAUAACUUUCUAAAACAGGAAACAUUGAAGAAAAUAUUAGUGCCACACCCUGUAAGUAACAAAUGGAGAAAAAGGGAAUGAUAAUGACCAAGUUCAGGAUCUUGGUUCCAUUGGGUGGGAUGGCAAGAGGCCGGGAAAGGAAGGGACCUACAGGUGGAUGAAUGGAUGUAACAAACUGUCAUAUUAGCUAGAUCUUGCUGGAGUCAAGGAUAAAAGUAUUGGUGCUUUACUUGGGAGAUAAACACCCAGGGCGACUGAAGAGAGAAAAAAGAUGUGAAGCAAUACAAAGUGUGAUGGGAUGAACUGUGUCCCGCCUACCCUCACUCCUCUCGAAUUGACAUGGUGAAGUCCUAACCUGUUACCUGGGAAUGCGGUCAUAUUUGGAGGUGAGGCCUUUAAAGAAGAAAUGAGGUCUUCGGGAUGGGCCUAGUUCAUAUGACUGGCGUCCUUACAAGCGGACACUUGGACACAGGCAUGUGUGUGGACACGUGAAGGUCCAGGGAGAAGACAGCCCUCUGCAAGCCAAGGAGAGAAGCCUCAGAAAAAACUAACCCUGCCGACGCCUUGACCUGACUUCUCGUCUCCGGAGCUGUGAGGAUGUUCAUUCCUGCUGUUUGAGCCCCCGCGCGUGGUCCUUUGUUGGGGCAGCCUGAGCAGAUCAGGCACAAAGUGACGCACAGCCUUAUUGGCCUCCACUUCCACGAGCCACAAGGAGACACAGUGGACGGUUAUGUCCUGCUCAGUGGGGCUUCUCUGGAAAGCUGUACAGAGGGAGGAUGAAGAGGGAAUUUAUCCCCUGGGGCUGCCCAUCUCCGCUGUGCCCAUGGGAAGUUAAAGUCCUCGUGCUUUCAUGGGGUGUCACUUCCCCUCUUUGGUGGCUGCUCAAGUUGUUAGAGCCCAUGCCAUAUAGUGUGACCUUUCACCUGAGUCCAUGAAGGGCAGGGGGAGCGAGAACCUGGGUGCAUAGGGGGUUGGCCUGGCUGCAGGAUGGUCCAUCGAGGGGAACCCUGACCCUGAUCAGCCCUGACUGGGGAACCAGUAGCCCAGGUGACUUGGUCAGUUGUGGGGCGAGGCUGAGGCAGAGCAAGUGGUGAGGGUGAAAAACCUGGGGGAUGCUGAGCAGAUGGGAGGAGGUGCAUGAGAUUCAUGAUGGGCCAGUUACUAAUAUUCUAGCUCUUGGUUAGGAUACCGGGUUUAUAGGUAUUUGUUUUAUUAUGUUUAAAACAAACAAACAAACAAACAAACAAACAAACAUAAAAGAAGGACAAGCAUGACCUGGUGGUGAUGAUGAUGGUGAUGAUGAUGCUUAAAGAAUCAAAAAUUCAAUUGUGAUUCAUUCAAUUCUGGGUUCCUGAGUUUGUUUGUUUUUCUACCAAAGAGAAUAGCAGCUGCUUUUCAAUUCUGAGAACCCCUUACUCUUCCUUACCUCCAGGGCAUCAAUUGGUUAUUUUGAAAAGCUCAUUUAAACACGUUUGGGGAGAGAAUCAAAUAUCCUGUAAAAAUUCAACAAUUACUACUCAAACCAGCUUUAUUCAUAAGCUAUUAUUUCAGAGAUUAACAAAAUAAUGUACAAUACAUUUGACUAUAGAAAACUUUCUUUUCAAAUCAGGCCUAAUAAAAUAAUUGCAAACGUGUGUUUUUAAUUUCCAAGGCCUGCCAGUUUUUUGUGUUUUGUUAAGAGCAGAAUCAUUGCAUAUGCAUGUUUAUAUCCACUGUGUCUUACUCACAUGGCUACAACAUACAUCAGUCUGUGUUUAUCAUGGACCCUGAACUUGACAAGCAUUCUUGCUUUUCUAACAUUCCUUUCCUAUUGCCUCAGUAAAUAAUGUUCCCAGUAAAGCACCUUUCUUUCAUUUUCUUUGCAGCAGAGCCUAUGUUAUUUUCUUAGUUAUGGAACGUUGUGCACCCAGUGGUUGGCCUUCCUUUUCUCGUGUGGUUUACUUUUCAGUUGGAAAAGUGUGAAUGAAAUGCGUGAUGCAUUGAUAUGGUGGCUGACAAUGUCAGUCACGCACAGCGCUGCAGGAAGCAGAUGGCAUCCUCCAAAGGGAUCACGGAUGAGAGUCUCAUGAACGGGUAAUUUACAAAAGUGCCGGCAGAUGCAGAGAAUCCACAAGGGAUGGAGAAGCAUCACAGGAUGAGCAAGAAGGACUGAAGAUUCGUGGAGGGAGAAGUUCCUGUAGCCCAGUGAGGAUGUGGUAGUGGGAGAGGGGUGGGGACACCCAUUAAGAGCCAUGAUCUUUGGUAGAAGAUCACACCAAUGGCCCGAGGAGGAAGGGAGGGAGGACGAGAGAGAGAGGACAAUGCGUGCCUGACCCUUCUCUCUUUCUGCCGCUACCCCCUCAAUUGGCAGGACCCAGCCAGAAACAAGAGAGCAGGAAAGUGUCCAUGGAGAGCACUUCCCAAAGCAGGGGUUGUGGUGGUGGAGGAGUGACAAGCACAUCUGAAGAGACAAACAGAAAACAUCUGGCACAGUGACAGAACAAUUGCUACAAUGGUUUUGAUGACUUAGUCCCAUUGGAAAAGUGAAGAGCUGCCCAGGCAAAGUUGCCUUUGCCCCUCAGGGGACAACUGUCAUCAUUUUUUAUUCUAGGGACUGACAGGCGGAAGGGUGCUGUAGGAACGUGAGCCCCUUGUUAAGAAACAGGGGUGAGGGCUAAUACUUUUGUAUGAACCUUUACAUUUAUGCAAUCCAGGCAUGAUUUAAAAUCGCUUUUAGCUGUAAGGUUUUAAGGUUGUUAAUCCAUAAUGUAGGAAGAUGUCUUUAGCAAAUACUGUCUGAUCUCACUUAGAUAUGGAAUCUUAAAAAACAAACACCACAAAACUGCUCAUAGAUACAAAGACCAGAUUGGUGGUUUCCAGAGGUGGGAGUGGGGGUGGGUGAAGUGGGUGAAGGGAGUCAAAAGGUGCAAACUUCCAGUUAUAAAUAAUAAUUAUAAUACUGUAGUGUGUAUUUGAUAGUUGCUAGGACAGGAGAUCUUAAAAGUUUUCAUCACAAGAAAAUAAUGUAUCUAUCUAUGUAUGGUGAUGGGUAUUAACUAGACUUAUUGUGGUAAUGACUUCCCAAUUCAUACAAAUGUGGAACCAUAAUGUCGUAUGCCUGAAACUAAUGUAGUGUUUUAUGUCAAUUAAAAGAAGAAAGAUGUCUUUAGGAAAUUUAACUAUUUCAAAAUGGAAUAAACUAAGUGCUCUACUUUAUAAAAUGA